UACGGGGGGGGGCAAGCGUUGUUCGGAAUUACUGGGCGUAAAGGGCCAGUAGGCGGCCAACUAAGUCCGACGUGAAAUCCCAAGGCUUAACCUUGGAACUGCGUCGGAUACUGGAUGGCUUGAAUUCGGGAGAGGGAUGCAGAAUUCCAGGUGUAGCGGUGAAAUGCGUAGAUAUCUGGAGGAAUACCGGUGGCGAAGGCGGCAUCCUGGACCGACAUUGACGCUGAACGGCGAAAGCCAGGGGAGCAAACGGG
rnacentral:rRNA from 1 species